GUCCCCAUCGUCUAGAUGGCCUAGGACAUCGCCCUUUCACGGCGGUAACGGGGGUUCGAAUCCCCCUGGGGACGCCA
rnacentral:tRNA from 1 species